CUCUUCAUUCAUCACACAAUAUUCUUCCUCAAUUGUAUUAUUUCUGUUAUCAUUCUCAUUAAAUACUUCUUCGUUUACUACAAUUAAAAAACUUAUCAAGCUCCCUCUUGAAAUUUAAUCAACUUUUCAACUUUUUCCUUCCUUUUCCUUUUGGCACAUCCAGAUUCAAAUUUUCUUUUAGACAUAAUAAUAAACAAAGAUCAAUCAAACCUGAUUGAUGAGUCCCCAAAAUGAAAGGAUUCAGAAAUUGGUGGUAGUGGUGGUCGUGUGGUGAUUGAAAUAGACAAUGCGGUUGUUCUAGGUUGCGGUCAAAAAUGCAGAGUCUGAUUAUCAAGCAAUUCCGCUGCCACCAAGAAAUGAACAAAACAAAGAGAGAAUAGAUCACACACCCAAAAAAAAAAAGGAGAGAAUAAGCUUUUAAAAAAGAAAAUGCAUUUUUGGAUCUUAAUCUCAAUAUGCAAUAAUUUUACGAAACGGAAAAAUGUGAAAUAAGCUUCAAUUUAUUCAAAUUGAAUGGAAAAUUUUAAUAAGUUUUUGUUUGGCUAACAAUUUUACGAAACGAAAAAAUGUGAAAUAAUAUCACAUUCUUAUCAUAUGUCGUCAUAAUUUUUAUAUCCUUUGGAGGAGUUGUUAAUAUGAAAUUACACUUUUCUGUGGACACGUUUAUCACCAUUUCAGGCCUAAAACACAAAAAUAUAUAUUAUGUUUUUCCCAAAAUCUCUUAAUACCCUGGACCCCACAUAUCAUCCCUUAUUCCUACUACUUAAUAUAAUAAUACUUAUUGAAAAAUUCCUAAAAUUAUUGCAACCAAAAGACUAAAGACUGAAGUCUAGUUUCUGCAAUCCGUAGUGGCGGAGUCCAAGCUUUCAUUCAUCACUCAUCAGUUCUUCUUUUCUUUUUCUUUUUCUUUUUUACUUCAAAUUUGUUGCAAAAUUGCAGAUCAAGAUACCCUUCUUCAAAUUAAGCAAAACCCCAUUUCUGAUUUUCGGUCAGGUACUUUUUAAAUUUUAACUUUUAUCACAACAUACACAAACACAGGUAUAUCGACACCGACUGGCGAUUGCAAUAUGUAAAUCUGUAAUAUGCUCAUGAUUUUGGAAUUGAGAAAGUGAAACUUAGAGGUUUCGAGGUGAUGGCAUUAGUUGUUUAAUUCUUGUUAAGAUUUUUUUUUGCUUUAUUUAUGUGAAGAAGAUUUUGGGUAUUUUAACCUUAAAACCCCAAUAAAAACGAAAGUCAUGGAAAGAUUUUCAAGGAAUCAAGGGUUUUCAGUUUCCUAAAAUAAAUGGAAACCAACCUCCGAAUUUGCGUGACCUUAGCAGUUUGUGAAAUGCGAACUCUCUGUGUGCGAACGUGCCGAAGCAGCCCAACCUCUGGUCCUCUGGAUUUCGUCGGAACUUUUGCAGUGGUAGACUAGUAGAGUAGUGGUUUUUGGAGAUUAAUUCCGAAUUGGAGUAGGUUUUAGGGAUAAAUUCUGGACUGGAAUGUGUUCUCAGGUCUGGAGAGUAGAGAAGGCGAUUGGAAUGCAAUUGGAAAUGGUUGUUCGUUUGCCUCUUUCAUGUGCCUCAAUAAAUAUUUAUUUAUUUAUUUUUUUUUUAAGAGAGGGGCGGUUUUGGGUUGGAGGCCCCCUAAAAUAUGAGGCUUGCCUUAGGCCAGGGCCGGGCCUGAGUGUAGCAAGGAAAGGAAUCCCAUGGAAGUAAACUACGAACCAGUCUUGGCCUAAGGCAAACUAGGCUACCACCUUGGGCCUCAAAAAUCAAGGGGCUUCAUAAAAAAUAAAUAGGCCUAAAUCCUGCCAAGUCCAAA
rnacentral:lncRNA from 1 species